rnacentral:misc_RNA from 1 species
AAGUCGUAACAAGGUAACCGUAGGUGAACCUGCGGUUGGAUCAUUAAUAAAAUAAAAAAUUUGGGACCAAAAAAAAGAGUAAUCCUCCCAAAAAGAGGUUCUUUUUUUUUUGGUUUUCAAAACAUCUUUGUGAACUGUUUAUCGUUUUUGGUGGGUUUAAAGAAAGAGUUUUUUUUUUUAAAAAUCUCUGGGAGGUAAUACUCAACCCACCGCUUUAUAUUCAAACUUUGUAUUAUUUUUUUUUGCCUUUAAAAUUUAAAAUUUAUUAUAAUUUUAAAACAACUUUUGACAACGGAUCUCUAGGCUCUC